rnacentral:tRNA from 1 species
AGGGGUAUAGCUCAGUUGGUAGAGCAAUGGUCUCCAAAACCAUGUGCCGAGGGUUCAAGUCCUUCUGCCCCUGCCA